rnacentral:tRNA from 1 species
UGCCUGGUGGUGUAAUGGUAGCACAACGGAUUCUGGCUCCGUUUGUCUAGGUUCGAGUCCUGGCCGGGCAGCCA